UCUCCCGGCUCUGGGGAAGUGGGACGGGCUCUUAAUGAAGUCGCUCAGACUGGGAUGACGUAGUCCUUCUGGGCCCCGCAGCUGUCCUGUUGAUACCGUAGUGUCGUCUAGACCCUUUUACCCAUCAGAGCACUGAUAUUUUUGUCCACGUCUCUCAUCCAGAGGAGGCUAGAUGCUUUGCUGGUCUUAACUCAGGUCUCUGUUUUGACAAAACAUUAAAUUGCACCUGUAUUACAAGCAACGAAGAUGAGAACAGUAACGCUUCGAAAGCUCGUAAUAGGAGGACUUGACCUGAUCAGGGAGGUCGGCAGAGGCAGUGAUGCUCGAGACUGCUGACCCGGGCUUUUGGAUUUUGACUAUUACGGCUCCACUGUUUAAGGAUCACCUCUUCAGUUUUCUUGGAUGUAUUAACACCGGAGUGACUCAUGCGUGCCCACCUUUCCGGGACAGCCAGGGAAGUCUCUGGAGCAGCUGACGAGAAUUUCUAAAUGUCAACAAUUAGGGAUACAGGAAUCAUCAGAGAUAAUUGUUACAUACAUCUGUAUGCAUUUUUUGGUCCAGUAAAAACACCCUGUCUCA